GUGAAUCAUCGAAUUUUUGAACGCAAAUUGCGCCUUUUUCGGAAGGCAUGUCUGUUUGAGUGCACCAUUUAACAAAUAAUGUGCAUUUCGUGCGCACACGUUGAUGAGCUUUCCAAAUUUAUGUAUUAUUUUUGAUUUCGCGUAAUAAACAGCGCGAUACUUGUAUCAGUUCGAGUGUAUUAAAAUUUUUUCUUGCUUGGGUUUUUAAAAGCGUGAUCGCACAAUGGGUAUUGCAAUUUUAUUUAAUCCCUACCCCAACGCCACUC
rnacentral:misc_RNA from 1 species